GCAGUCGAGCGAACAGACGAGGAGCUUGCUCCUCUGACGUUAGCGGCGGACGGGUGAGUAACACGUGGAUAACCUACCUAUAAGACUGGGAUAACUUCGGGAAACCGGAGCUAAUACCGGAUAAUAUAUUGAACCGCAUGGUUCAAUAGUGAAAGACGGUUUUGCUGUCACUUAUAGAUGGAUCCGCGCCGCAUUAGCUAGUUGGUAAGGUAACGGCUUACCAAGGCAACGAUGCGUAGCCGACCUGAGAGGGUGAUCGGCCACACUGGAACUGAGACACGGUCCAGACUCCUACGGGAGGCAGCAGUAGGGAAUCUUCCGCAAUGGGCGAAAGCCUGACGGAGCAACGCCG
rnacentral:rRNA from 1 species